CGUUGAAACACGGCUUCUCGUAAGAUCAUUGAAGUUAAGCAACAUCGAGCCUGGUCACUACUAUGGGUAACCACUUGGGAAUUCCAGGUGCUGUAAG